UACGUAGGUGGCAAGCGAUACUCGGAAUCACUAGGCGUAAAGCGCAGGUAGGAGGUUUGGUAAGUCUAUUGUGAAAGCUCCCGGCUUAACUGGGAGAGGUCAAUGGAAACUACCAGGCUAGAGUGCGGUAGAGGUAGCUGGAAUUCCCGGUGUAGCGGUGAAAUGCGUAGAUAUCGGGAGGAAUACCUAUGGCGAAAGCAGGCUACUGGACCGUCACUGACUCUGAUCUGCGAAAGCUAGGGGAGCAAACAGG
rnacentral:rRNA from 1 species